CGUGCCUACGGGAGGCAGCAGUGGGGAAUAUUGGGCAAUGGGCGCAAGCCUGACCCAGCAACGCCGCGUGAAGGAAGAAGGCUUUCGGGUUGUAAACUUCUUUUCUCAGGGACGAAGCAAGUGACGGUACCUGAGGAAUAAGCCACGGCUAACUACGUGCCAGCAGCCGCGGUAAUACGUAGGUGGUAAGCGUUAUCCGGAUUUACUGGGUGUAAAGGGCGUGUAGGCGGGGACGCAAGUCAGAUGUGAAAACCAUG
rnacentral:rRNA from 1 species